UUUUUUUUUUUUUUUUUUUAAGAAGUGAGUUUCACAAGUAAAGGCUCUGUCCGGGUAUAAAACAACUGAUGCAUUUUUUCCAACAUUAAACAUCUCGAGUUCGUAAUUAAAAAACGGAGGACAGAACGGACAGCUAAAUAAACGGACUUGGGGAUUUUAGGGCGAGUUUUUCCGGGACCGUUCAGAAAUAAGCGAGCACUCUUUUGUCUGACGCUGAGCUGCGGUUAUGGCGACCGCGUCUGCUUAGCGCAGAGGUACGAGCACCGAGCAGCGCCGAUACAGAGGGCGAUAACGCCGCCGGUACAGCCGCGGAGGUAACGCGCUCUGCGCAGCGCACGGCUGCCGGGGAGUGCGGAGCAGAGAUUUGGGCUCCUCCGUCCGCAGCGCUACCGAACGAAGCCGAGAGAAGGGGUUUGAUUUCUUCUCGAACGCCUCCGAACGCCUCACGACCGCUGUAAGGUCUCCGGCGUUCUGCAAGGGUUGGCAGAGGGCUGCGCCAGGAGAUGGCAGAUGAUUUCACACCGCAAAGAACUCGCGAAGCAACAUGGCGUUGUGGGAGCGGAUGACAGUCGGUAAUUAGUGGCAGGCUGCGGGGAUCUUCCUCGCUCACAAUGGGAAGGAAGCUGCUCGGAGCGGGGACACGGAGCUGGCACAGCGGCAGGGAAGCGGCCUCGAGUUGCGUGCAAGAGUCGGAGGAAUUUCUUCCUUUAGGUAUCGGUGCUUAGGACCGGGGGGCACGCUUGGCUAGAGACGGACCUUCAUUGUUCGGCCGCUCGUUAUCCUGCAUGUCACAGAGGUUGCUACGAGACCACUCCCUUUUCUCUGUGCCACUAUUGGACUAAAUCUACUUGGGCUCCCGGGACGUCGCGAAUUGUCUUCAGAGCGUGGGAACCCCGGCGUGUGCCCUCAGCUCCGCUCAGCAGCUUGGCACCGCCGCCGCUUCUUCUCCCCGGGUAUCUCGGGCUGCUCCUGCCGGGCUGGGGCUGCUCCUCCUGCCCCGGAAACAAUGGGAGCUCCCGGCCCAUUGUGUGGGCUCAGCGCAGAGCCGUGCGUGGGUGCGGGGACACGGGUGGCCGUGCCCAGGUGGGAGCCGCCGUGUGCGGGGUCAUCAGGGACCGGCUCAGCCCCCGCACGGCCCGGAUAACCGCGGGGCUCAAACGCAGAGAUCUGGGUCGUUUCCAGAAUAAAGAACGUGUUGGAAGCGCAGUCAGCUGUCGGGUAUUUAAGAAUGGGAUUUAGCCCGCAACAGGGCCACAUAUGUAAGUGCUUAUCUAAAGAAGACAUAAAAUACAAUAAGCUUUGGGGGAAAAAUUCAUGAUUCAGCAAAAAUAAAGGGAGUAAUAUAUUUACCCGGAGAUGCAAGUUAUCAGCUAGCGUGCAUUUGGCUGGUGUAAUGUUUAAAGGAAAAUACUGUAUAAUUCCUGUUUGGAGAACGUGUUCACGGUAUGGGUGGAAAAACAUUAGUUCCAUCUAACAUGAAGAGUAGCAAAUGUCUGUUGUUAUUAAAGGCAGCACGUAAUAUAUAUACCUGAGAAAUGUACUCUAGGCGCUAGAAAGCAUUUUCUAGACUCCGGUUUUACUAGUGUUUUACCGAAUAAAAUUUUAACAGAAAUGCGUGUGCAUGGUGAAAUGUAAAGCUAAUUGGAGAACACGGGAUCGUAUCGCGGUAUCGGGUAACUCUCUGCUGGGAGGUGGAUGGUGCAGGGAGCACCCAGGGCUUGAGCCGAGGGCACGUAGGCGCUGCAAAGCACUCAGCCGAGGCCAGCUGGCUGCCUCUGCCCCGCACCCGG
rnacentral:lncRNA from 1 species